rnacentral:tRNA from 1 species
GAGAGUAUAGCUCAGUGGUAGAUCGCAUGCUUAGCAUGCAUGAGGUCUUGGGUUCAGUCCCCUGUACCUCCA